ACGGGGUGCAGCAGGCGCGAAACCUCCGCAAUGCGAGCAAUCGCGACGGGGGGACCCCAAGUGCCACUCUUAACGGGGUGGCUUUUCUUAAGUGUAAAAAGCUUUUGGAAUAAGGGCUGGGCAAGACCGGUGCCAGCCGCCGCGGUAACACCGGCAGCUCUAGUGGUAGCCAUUUUUAUUGGGCCUAAAGCGUUCGUAGCCGGUUUGAUAAGUCUCUGGUGAAAUCCUAUAGCUUAACUGUGGGACUUGCUGGAGAUACUAUUAGACUUGAGGUCGGGAGAGGUUAGCGGUACUCCCAGGGUAGGGGUGAAAUCCUGUAAUCCUGGGAGGACCACCUGUGGCGAAGGCGGCUAACUGGAACGAACCUGACGGUGAGGGACGAAAGCCAGGGGCGCGAACCGGAUUAGAUACCCGGGUAGUCCUGGCCGUAAACGAUGUGGACUUGGUGUUGGAAUGGCUUCGAGCUGCUCCAGUGCCGAAGGGAAGCUGUUAAGUCCACCGCCUGGGAAGUACGGUCGCAAGACUGAAACUUAA
rnacentral:rRNA from 1 species